rnacentral:tRNA from 1 species
AUUUAUAUAGUUUAUUUAAAACCUUACCUUUUCCUUGUAAAAAUAAAAAAAAAUAUUUUUUAUAAAUA